GACGAACGCUGGCGGCGUGCUUAACACAUGCAAGUCGAACGGAAAGGCCCUGCUCUUGUGGGGUGCUCGAGUGGCGAACGGGUGAGUAACACGUGAGUAACCUGCCCUUGUCUUUGGGAUAACUUCAGGAAACUGGGGUUAAUACCGGACAGGAGCUCCUGCUGCACGGUGGGGGUUGGAAAGUUUCGGCGGUUGGGGAUGGACUCGCGGCUUAUCAGCUUGUUGGUGGGGUAGUGGCUUACCAAGGCUUUGACGGGUGGCCGGCCUGAGAGGGUGACCGGCCACAUUGGGACUGAGGUACGGCCCGGACUCCUACGGGAGGCAGCAGUGGGGAUUAUUGCACAAUGGGCGGAAGCCUUAUGCAGCAACGCCGCGUGCGGGAUGACGGCCUUCGGGUUGUAAACCGCUUUCGCGUGUAACGAAGCGUGAGUGACGGUAAUGGGUAAGGAAGCACCGGCUAACUACGUG
rnacentral:rRNA from 1 species